CACCACUUGGAGGUGGAAAUACAGUACAUCACUGUCACAUGACUUGUGAUGGUGCCCGCCCCUCUGGUGCUAAGCUCGUACCCAGGCUUAGCACCAGAUAUACAUCAUCUAUAGGUGUGGCCAUUCUUAUUAUCAUCAGAUGCCGGAGCCAAGAGUGAGAUGUCUGGGGACUGGCUAUUUCUUCCAUGACCUGCUUCAGUGGAUGGAGGUACGGGUUGGACCCAGGCACUGCGACGCAGAGAAAGCUUGACCGUGUGGACUGAGAAUUCCUGACCGCCACCCUUUCCCAAAUUGGCUUGGGAUCCGUAAUGAGGGAACAUAAUGGCUCUUUACUACCAACCCAAACCUCAGGAUGAAAGUAAAUUGGAUAUGAUAGAUGAUAGUUCAAGUGAAUAUUUCAUGUAUACUGACAUAAACUAGACAUUCUUUUGAGCACCAUCUGAGAAUGAAGAUGUUUAGCAUCCACGUCUGGAGCUUUCCUGAUGGCAAUGCUAUACAGGGGUUUCGGAGCCAGAAUGGUUAUGUAAACGCCUUCUUAAUUGUCACAAAUACAGACAAUUUUCAAACAAAAAACAUAUGAAGCUACAUACAGUUUCCUCGACACCAUUGCAGGCUGAUCUCAUGAAAGUAUACGUUACUGUCAUUGCGGAUUAUUAGUAGAUGUUGAAGAAUGGAAAGAAGAUAUCCCUCAGAAUACGUGUUCUUGACAGAAUUCCACAACGUGCUGAAAACAUCGCUGACAUCAGUUGUAAUGUUAAGGUCUGACGCAGAUCCAGGUCUCCUCAAUGCAGUUUGGUGUCUUCUGGUAUUUACAGGAACUUCCUUCUCAGACAAUCACUGGCCUGAGUGGGAAAGGUCCUGGAACUAGCUGAUUGUUGAGAGCAAAGAAAAGGAAAGGAUAUUCCAUUUCUAGUCGGACAUCCUCAAGGCGAUGAGAAAACUCUAUCAUGUCCUCUUCCUUGUGUUCAUCAAACACUCGCAGCUGGAUGUCCAGGGCAUCAUUGCGGAUAUUCUUUAAUUGCUAUGAGA